rnacentral:rRNA from 1 species
GAUGAACGCUGGCGGCGUGCCUAAUACAUGCAAGUCGAGCGAACAGAUGAGGAGCUUGCUCCUCUGACGUUAGCGGCGGACGGGUGAGUAACACGUGGAUAACCUACCUAUAAGACUGGGAUAACUUCGGGAAACCGGAGCUAAUACCGGAUAAUAUAUUGAACCGCAUGGUUCAAUAGUGAAAGACGGUUUUGCUGUCACUUAUAGAUGGAUCCGCGCCGCAUUAGCUAGUUGGUAAGGUAACGGCUUACCAAGGCAACGAUGCGUAGCCGACCUGAGAGGGUGGUCGGCCAAGCUGGAACUGAGAAACGGUCCAAAAACCUACGGGAGGCAACAAUAGGGAAUCUUCCGCAAUGGGAGAAAGCCUGACGGAGCAACGCCGCGUGAGUGAAGAAGGUCUUCGGAUCGUAAAACGCUGUUAUUAGGGAAGAACAAAUGUGUAAGUAACUAUGCACGUCUUGACGGUACCUAAUCAGAAAGCCACGGCUAACUACGUG